UGUAGGCGACACCCGGUACGGGAGGAGGGGGUGGCUGAUGCUGCAGUGACGGUGGCGGCAGAGGGACCCAGCGGUGCAGUGCGGCAGCGACAUCGCUUGCCUGUUUGGCACGACUCAGUUAGGGAUUCCACAGCAGCAAAAUCCAGAAGCCGAGAAGGGGGUUAUUGAAGCGGUGGCCCCCUUUUCGCUGGGUCCCUCUGCUGCCACCGCUGCAGCAUCAGCCACCCCCUCCUCCGGUACUGGGUGUCGCCAGUGGUU